UAAGGAAUAUUGGUCAAUGGACGCAAGUCUGAGCCAGCCAUGCCGCGUGAAGGAUGAAGGUCCUCUGGAUUGUAAACUUCUUUUAUCUGGGACGAAAACGGGAUUUUUAUCUCAAUUGACGGUACCAGAGGAAUAAGCACCGGCUAACUCCGUGCCAGCAGCCGCGGUAAUACGGAGGGUGCGAGCGUUAUCCGGAUUUACUGGGUUUAAAGGGUGCGUAGGUGGGCUUAUAAGUCAGUGGUGAAAUCUCCGAGCUUAACUUGGAAACUGCCGUUGAUACUAUAGGUCUUGAAUUAUCUGGAGGUAAGCGGAAUAUGUCAUGUAGCGGUGAAAUGCUUAGAUAUGACAUAGAACACCAAUUGCGAAGGCAGCUUACUACAUAUAAAUUGACGCUGAGGCACGAAAGCGUGGGGAUCAAACA
rnacentral:rRNA from 1 species